rnacentral:rRNA from 1 species
AAGGCGAGGCCGAAAGGCGUAGUCGAUGGGAAACAGGUUAAUAUUCCUGUACUUGGUGUUACUGCGAAGGGGGGACGGAGAAGGCUAUGUUGGCCGGGCGACGGUUGUCCCGGUUUAAGCGUGUAGGUGUGUGUUCCAGGUAAAUCCGGUUCACUUUAACACUGAGGCGUGACGACGAGGCACUACGGUGCUGAAGCAACAAAUGCCCUGCUUCCAGGAAAAGCCUCUAAGCAUCAGGUAACAUCAAAUCGUACCCCAAACCGACACAGGUGGUCAGGUAGAGAAUAC